UACGUAGGGUGCGAGCGUUGUCCGGAAUUAUUGGGCGUAAAGGGCUCGUAGGCGGUUUGUCGCGUCGGGAGUGAAAACCCAGGGCUUAACCCCGUGCCUGCUUCCGAUACGGGCAGACUAGAGGUAUGCAGGGGAGAACGGAAUUCCUGGUGUAGCGGUGAAAUGCGCAGAUAUCAGGAGGAACACCGGUGGCGAAGGCGGUUCUCUGGGCAUUACCUGACGCUGAGGAGCGAAAGUGUGGGGAGCGAACAGG
rnacentral:rRNA from 1 species